rnacentral:lncRNA from 7 species
AGAGACUCAUUUGGUCCCACAGGCCAUAUUAGUAGGCUGGUCUCUACACUUGUGUUUGCAGAGCUGUAACUGGAAGCACCAGAGGUCUGAAAUGAAGAAGGUGAAGAGAGGUGGGCUUGGUGCGCUGGGCUUCUCCCCAUUAAGGAGAAUUGCAGACAACUGAAUAUGGAAAAGAAUACAAAAGCAGAGCCUGUCAGUCACCCCUGGGCGGUUGUCAGCAUCUGGAAGGAUGGAUGCAGAAGUUAAGAGCAGCCAUCUUCAUCCAGUCACCUGUGUGCCUCAGUCAGAGGGAAGAAACAAAGACAUUCGAACCAUUUGCACAACACAGAAGCUCUCCAGCAUGAGUCCUUAAAGGGCUGGAGGCUUGCUGGGGAAGCUUUGAGGAGGAGAGUCAUAAAGAACAGAAGGUUUUACGACGCAAGGUCAAAGCUGUUGAACACAAUGGCAAAGCAGCAUAGGAGAAACACCCUUUGUCCUCUGUCAUCGCUGUCAAAAACAGAGGAGGGGAAGAAGUCCCGCACACCACAUUUCAGCAAAGCCCUGAAGUGUUCUGCACAGAGUCCCAGCCUCCAAUUGGCAGUCCCAGCUCUUUGGCAGAUGAUUUUAUCCAGGGUCAGACCCACAGCUCUUGAAAACUCACAACCUGAGGGAGUUCUGGAACUCCUCACCUCAUGGGUACACCACAGCGCUGAUCCAAGAGCCAGGGGCAGCAUUCCUUGGCCAAAAGGUUUGUGCUGGAUGGGAGCUGAGACCCUGAGUCUGAGGCUGCCCAGGAUCAGUGUGCUCAGAAUACCAACGGGCCUCAAUCAGGCAGUCUGGGAGAGCAUACAGAAACGUAUCAAUUUGUUCCCGAGUAUUUUCAGGCACAAACAACUGCAAGAAUUUACCACGGCUAUAUAAAAAUAUAGUCUGGGACCCAGGCAGGUCUGUAAAAGUUGUGUGAAGCUGGAGGACGCAUUUCCUUGUGGGAGAUGUGCUGAAUUUUGAUGCUGAGAGGUGCUGUCAUAUACCCCUUGUAACAGUACCAUGCUAUUGCUUAUCCUUAAUAGAGGAAGAUAGGCAGAAGGAAUAGAAUCAGUGCAUCAGUGCUGUGCAAUAAAAUAAUAGCUGUUUUACC